rnacentral:rRNA from 1 species
UACGUAGGGUGCAAGCGUUAAUCGGAAUUACUGGGCGUAAAGCGUGCGCAGGCGGUAAUGUAAGACAGUUGUGAAAUCCCCGGGCUCAACCUGGGAACCGCAUCUGUGACUGCAUUGCUGGAGUACGGCAGAGGGGGAUGGAAUUCCGCGUGUAGCAGUGAAAUGCGUAGAUAUGCGGAGGAACACCGAUGGCGAAGGCAAUCCCCUGGGCCUGUACUGACGCUCAUGCACGAAAGCGUGGGGAGCAAACAGG